rnacentral:rRNA from 1 species
AGAACGAACGCUGGCGGCAUGCCUAAUACAUGCAAGUCGAACGAACUCUUCGGAGUUAGUGGCGCACGGGUGCGUAACGCGUGGGAAUCUGCCCCUUGGUUCGGAAUAACAGUUGGAAACGACUGCUAAUACCGGAUGAUGACGAAAGUCCAAAGAUUUAUCGCCAAGGGAUGAGCCCGCGUAGGAUUAGCUAGUUGGUGAGGUAAAGGCUCACCAAGGCAACGAUCCUUAGCUGGUCUGAGAGGAUGAUCAGCCACACUGGGACUGAGACACCGGCCCAGACUCCGUACGGGAGGCAGCAGGUAGGGAAUA